AGCAUUAAGGGUGAGCCACGCCUCUUUCUCCUUCCCUUAUCCAUUUUCCUUUCUUCUAGCCAUGUUCGUCUCAUUUCUUCCCCAAAUCUGGCAGGGAUAGGCCACCGCUGCCGCGAUUGCAGCCGAAGGCGAAGGGCGGGAGCGCGGGAUCCGCAUCUCGUCACCGGCGCAGACCAAAAAUGGUUGUAGAAGGAGAUGCGGCUCCUAGUGAAGGAGAGGGAUCUGCAAACCAUUCUUCUAGAUAGAACUCGAAACGACCCAUCGAGCGGCAGACGCGUCGUGUUGAUAUCGACGGGGUGGCAGAGGAUGAUGAGGCAAGUAUCGAGCAACCAGUGUGGGUGCAUGUCACUUUUUUGCGCGCGCACACA